rfam:Schistosoma rodhaini strain Burundi genome assembly, scaffold: SROB_scaffold0007363
AUUUGGCUGACGAGUCCUAAAUAGGGCGAAACGUGCGUUCUGGAU